rnacentral:rRNA from 1 species
UACGUAGGGGGCGAGCGUUGUCCGGAAUGACUGGGCGUAAAGCGCGCGCAGGCGGUUUCUUGCGUCUGAGGUGAAAGACGAUGGCUCAACCAUCGCAAUGCCUUGGAAACGGGGGAACUUGAGGGUCGGAGAGGCAAGGGGAAUUCCACGUGUAGCGGUGAAAUGCGUAGAGAUGUGGAGGAAUACCAGUGGCGAAGGCGCCUUGCUGGACGAAACCUGACGCUGAGGCGCGAAGGCAUGGGGAGCAAACAGGAUUAGAUACCCUGGUAGUCCAUGCGGUAAACGAUGAGUGCUAGGUGUCGGAGGGUACCACCUCCGGUGCCGAAGGAAACCCAAUAAGCACUCCGCCUGGGGAGUACGGUCGCAAGACUGAAACUCAAAGGAAUUGACGGGGGCCCGCACAAGCAGUGGAGCAUGUGGUUUAAUUCGAAGCAACGCGAAGAACCUUACCAGGACUUGACAUCCCUCUGACGGCUUUAGAGAUAAGGCGUCCCUUCGGGGCAGAGGAGACAGGUGGUGCAUGGUUGUCGUCAGCUCGUGUCGUGAGAUGUUGGGUUAAGUCCCGCAACGAGCGCAACCCUUGAUCUGUGUUACCAGCACGUAAUGGUGGGGACUCACAGAUGACUGCCGGUGACAAACCGGAGGAAGGCGGGGAUGACGUCAAAUCAUCAUGCCCCUUAUGUCCUGGGCUACACACGUGCUACAAUGGACGGUACAACGGGAUGCGAAAGAGCGAUCUUGAGCCAACCCCACAAAGCCGUUCGUAGUUCGGAUUGCAGGCUGCAACUCGCCUGCAUGAAGCCGGAAUUGCUAGUAAUCGCGGAUCAGCAUGCCGCGGUGAAUACGUUCCCGGGCCU